GGGCCAGUAGUCAUAUGCUUGU
rnacentral:misc_RNA from 1 species